ACACAAGAGAGACCUAACCAUGAAAGAAGAAGCGUGACACGAAUAGAAAUAAGGUAAUAUGGAGUAUAAAGGUACAAGAGACCAAGAAUGUAGCAAACAUAAAGUUACGUACAUAGGAUUAUAGUUAACGCAGCAACGUCAAGUUUUUGAAGAUGGUGUAGAACUUGCUACGAACGUCAAACGUCAACGUCAUCCGCGAACGUCAACGAAAUGUCAUGGAACCGGCCUUUAAAUUUCAAAAGGAUUGAUUUUAGAAUACAACUUUGGUUAUAUAAAUAAUAUUUUAGGUUAUUGUAUAUAUACAUCUUAUAUAUAUAUAAUGUAGAACUAUCAGAUGAUGUACCUAACUGUAUGUUUACUCCGUAGGGUUACCUAUUUAAUCAGUUAACUGUGUAAAUCCAUGUAUGUUAUUUGAAACAACCUUGUAAUAUUGGCUAACAUGAAUAUCGUAGGUAACUACCGCUGAGUUCGCAUCUCAUCUGUUAUUUCACCAUUGAAUUACUUAUAACUAACAGAACAAUAACUGGGAUAUCAUCAAUCUACAUGCAAUGAGCUGUCCCUGCCAUUUCACUUAAUGUAAAGGAAAUUUAUAUGUCAUAAACUUGAAAUGAAUGGCUUUAAAUUUAAUGCAUUUACGUUUCUUUUUGUUUGCGCAAAGAUAAUUUAUCUUCGAACGAUAAUUUUUUUAUAUUAUUUGGACGGCAUACAUUUCUACCUGUAACGUAUUAUACAGACUCGAACUCUAGCUAUAAAAAUUUUAGUGAUAUAAACCAUACAUGGUUGCCAAUUUUUUGCUAGUCAACAAUCUAAGUAAAAGAAGCUUUUAGUUAUUCAAAGUAUGUAGUCUAAAUUAUUCAAAUACUGACCUGAUCUGGAAGAAUUUGAUGGUUUUGCGUCCAAGCAGCCAUUUGCUUGGGAGGAACGUCGGGAGCAACCGCCACUUUACUUCUUUUCUUGUAAUCGUGAAGUAUUGGUAUUUUGGAGUUUUUUUCUGUACUGGAAAGUAUCACUUCUCUUUCGAUCUGUAACAACGAUAUAUCAUAUCAUUUCGCAUAAACUAUCAUUUCAACUUCUCGAAAUAAAUGCUUGCAUUAACCCAUAUACGUUAAGAUGCCGACAAUAUUCAUUUUCUCUCUCGUUCGAGACACUUUAUCUAUACUGCACAUGCUUGAAAAUUCUCCAAAUAACAACUGUAGCGAUCGGAGGAGAGAGAGAACGAUACAUUAUUUGUUUCACUUAGUUGGAACAUCUCCCACUGUACUAUACAGUUAUUUUAUAGGUUAGUUUGUUCUUCUUUCUUUUAUAACUUGUCAUUGUUUUAUAUAAUUAUGCAGUAUAAAUAUUCUGACGUUUCAAAUUUUUUUUUAUCGGUACUUUAAAUGUAAUUUGCGAAAAUCAACAUACCUAUUAAAUUCUUAGAUCAAAGAUGCCGACAAUAUUCAUUUUCUCUCUCGUUCGAGACACUUUAUCUAUACUGCGCAUGCUUGAAAAUUCUCCAAAUAACAACUGUAGCGAUCGGAGGAGAGAGAGAACGAUACAUUAUUUGUUUCACUUAGUUGGAACACCUCCCACUGUACUAUACAGUUAUUUUAUAGGUUAGUUUGUUCUUCUUUCUUUUAUAACUUGUCAUUGUUUUAUAUAAUUAUGCAGUAUAAAUAUUCUGACGUUUCAAAUUUUUUUUAUCGGUACUUUAAAUGUAAUUUGCGAAAAUCAACAUACCUAUUAAAUUCUUAGAUCAAAGAUGCCGACAAUAUUCAUUUUCUCUCUCGUUCGAGACACUUUAUCUAUACUGCGCAUGCUUGAAAAUUCUCCAAAUAACAACUGUAGCGAUCGGAGGAGAGAGAGAACGAUACAUUAUUUGUUUCACUUAGUUGGAACACCUCCCACUGUACUAUACAGUUAUUUUAUAGGUUAGUUUGUUCUUCUUUCUUUUAUAACUUGUCAUUGUUUUAUAUAAUUAUGCAGUAUAAAUAUUCUGACGUUUCAAAAUUUUUUUUACCGGUACUUUAAAUGUAAUUUGCGAAAAUCAACAUACCUAUUAAAUUCUUAGAUCAAAGAUGCCGACAAUAUUCAUUUUCUCUCUCGUUCGAGACACUUUAUCUAUACUGCGCAUGCUUGAAAAUUCUCCAAAUAACAACUGUAGCGAUCGGAGGAGAGAGAGAACGAUACAUUAUUUGUUUCACUUAGUUGGAACACCUCCCACUGUACUAUACAGUUAUUUUAUAGGUUAGUUUGUUCUUCUUUCUUUUAUAACUUGUCAUUGUUUUAUAUAAUUAUGCAGUAUAAAUAUUCUGACGUUUUAAAUUUUUUUUUACCGGUACUUUAAAUGUAAUUUGCGAAAAUCAACAUACUUUUGUCAUUGUUUGUAUAACAUUGAAAAAAUAUUGUACGUAGGAGUAUGCAUUAAAUCUUGGAAUGUAUACGUUCGAGUCACGGGCGUAGUCAAGAUUUAGUUUUGAGGGGGGUUUGGUUUGAAGUAAAUAAAACAAUAAAAAUAUACUUAUAUGAAAUUUAA